UGAGUCCCUCAAUGUGUACUCUUUGAAGUUGGAGAAUAUCAUCCUGAGUGAGAUCUGGAUGUGGAAGUCUCCGAUCCUUCUUCAGUACCAUGUCUAUCUGUAUGCCACCAUAUUUUCCACCAUGAUAAUAAUGGAUUUAACCUCUGAACUUAUUAUUUCAUCUAAAUUAUGCCCCGUGGAGAGAUUUUAAAGAAACAAAACCCAGAAGAACAAAGAUAGGAUGUUUCUAUGAUGGCUGCUGACAUUGAGGCUCACAGUAAGAGAAGAGGAUGAAACUUGUCAAGUUGCUUCAAUUCAGGAAGCAUCUCUUCCUAAGAGUCGCAGCACACAUUUCACCCGGUGUUUCUGUAUUUCCGCUGAACAAUAUUUAUUUCUCUCUGUUCUCCAACAGAGCUAAGCCCUUUCUGUCUAUGUUUUAAAUUCUGACAUGGCUUUUUAUACUCCCAAGUGUUCUCGUGUUUCCAGAACUUUCAUUUUUCUUCCAUCUUAUCUCAAGGCUGGAAGAAGUUUAUCAUAUUAGUAGACAAUGAAGCAGAACAAGACGAUACAUCAAGCCUUGGCACUCAAUAUUGUUUUGCAGGGAAGACCAAGUAAGUUCUUUUAUUAUGCGACUAGAGAGAGAGAAAAAAAAGAUAAUGUCUCAGGAACUGUAUUUCAGGAAUAGAAAGGUGUAGAUAUGUUUAAUUAAUGACAGAGGAUCCAAAAGAGGAGCAAACAGAUUAGAAAACAAGUAAUUAAAACAAAUACUUAAAGCUGAAAUCUGGAGAGAAGAGAUUUACUAAGCAAACACCAGGAAUUUGUAGAGGCAAUAAAAUUCUAAUGUGAUGUAUGGAUGAGGAUCAUAAUAGAGUGCUCUGCUCUAUGUGACAACACAGAAGUCUCCAAUUGUCAUUAUUUUAUAGAUAAACUCUUUUCCAUUAACAUAAAGCUACACAGCAAUUCAAUCACCA